rnacentral:lncRNA from 1 species
AUUCCGUCUGAAGAGAUACACUAUUGUCUUUUAAGAAGCCCGGCGCGGAAACACAGGAACUCAACCGUGUGUGUUAAAUUCAAGCACGUGUCUGUCUUAGCUGGGGUGUUCGCCUAACCGCCCCAGUCCCACGAAGCCAGAGGGAGAAGGCGGGGUUAUGGCCUCCAUCACCGCAUCAGGGCCUCCCAUCACAGCCCCAGACAGGCCCCUGAGAAGCUGCCACAGAAAAGGUAAAAAUGCCCAGGUCCUGGGCCAGCACAGCUAAAACCCUCCAACGGUUGAAGGUGAGCGUAAAAAGCGAAAAAGAAUAGAACAAGCUAGAAAGAGGAAGGUGCAGGAAGGAGAAGCGAGUUUCAGAGGAACUGAGCAGAGCGCUCAGAGAUACUCUUGACCACACGCCAGGAGGCGGCAUCUCCCGGCGAGAAGCAGCGCCCUCUAGCGGUUAGACUCCGCGCGGCCGCCGGGGCGGCUCAUCGUCCCGCCGUUUCUAGCCCGAGCUGCCUAUUUACACCCCCGGCUACCGCGCUGGAUCCCACAGUCUUUGUUACAACAUCACGGUGCUGUCCCAGGAUGGAUCUGUGCAGGCCAGCUUUUUUGCUGGUGGACACUUGGGUGGUCAGGCCUUCCUGCACUAUGAUCACAUGAAGGGGAGAGCAGAGCCCUGGGGAGUCUGAGCUGAAGAUCUGGAAGCUAAGAUGUGGGACAAAGAAUCCAAGUGAAACUGGGCAACUCAGAUUGGGACUCAAAUCCACGUUCUUUUAACUGACAUCACAUCUGGUCUCAGGACUUACUGAUUCUCAGGUUCUUGAUGUCUCUUCUCAGAAUGAAUUCAGUGAGAGACAAAGUGAUAGGUAAAAAGUGGAUUUUUUAGAGAGAAACACACUCUGUAGACAUUGGGUAAGCCAUCUCAGAA